rnacentral:lncRNA from 1 species
CGCGCCAUCAGGUGACCUGACAAUUUUAAACAGAGAGGAGCAUCAUGGAUGUGAUGACUGCAGACCUAGUGGUGACCUUGUCCUCUACGCUAUCGAGACACUAGAGAGAGUAACGCAGAGGCCAGAGAGAAGUAGCAGAGACAGCAUCAUGGAAGGGUGAGUCCCGUCCCCUGUCCCCAACGUUUCCAGUUACUG